UCCAGCUUAUCACUGGCAGUUUCCUUAGAGUUCCCGGCCUAACCGCUGGCAACUAAGGAUGAGGGUUGCGCUCGUUGCGGGACUUAACCCAACAUCUCACGACACGAGCUGACGACGGCCAUGCAACACCUGUGUGUGAUCCGGCCGAACCGAAGGAUCUAUCUCUAGAUCCGGUGAUCACCAUGUCAAAAGUUGGUAAGGUUUUUCGCGUGACAUCGAAUUAAACCGCAUGCUCCACCGCUUGUGCGGGCCCCCGUCAAUUCCUUUGAGUUUUAAUCUUGCGACCUUACUCCCCAGGCGGAGUGCUUAACGCGUUAGCUGCGACACCGAAAACAAGUCCCGAUAUCUAGCACUCAUCGUUUACAGCGUGGACUAC
rnacentral:misc_RNA from 1 species